rnacentral:sRNA from 1 species
GACCCGGGCCUCGCGGGGAGGUUGUCGGAAGCACUUCCCUAACUUGCGCCUGGGUGGGAGGAAUGCUCCGCUCUUUUGUUCCCAGGAAGGGAAAAACGGGGCGGAGGUUCCUGCUGCCAUGUUGUGGCCCUGGUCUUCCGCCUGCAAGUGCUAGUCCCGUACACCCGGCCCCCUCUCGCGCGUCUUUCCACGAGCUCUCCACGGGGAGGAGGCGAAAGGGUGGACAGGGGAAAACUGCUGAAGAGCUUUCGGAGAGACCUCAUCUAGUCGCUGGCCUCGUCAAGGCAGUAAAAAUUCCUAGGGCAGACAUUUUCCACGUGAUGUUGCUCGUGUCUGUAGUUAGACUUUUCUAUUGAUCUCAGUGCUCAGUUUUAAAGAUAGUAGAAUGUGGCUUUUUCAAAAGAUUCGUUCUGAGCCGUUUAAAAUGCUCUUGUGUUCUACGAAGUCUCUUUGCAUCCUUGAACAUCGGGGAAUUUCCAGGUGGCUAAACAAAAUGUAAUUGUCAGUGUUUUGAGUACAUUUUAGGUUAGUCUUACAGAUCUGCAAUGCAGUGACAGUGCCAGGAUCUGAAAUACGUUGUAAUUGAAUGAAGGCUUAUAGAUCUGUAUGUUAGCAGUGUCUAAUUUUGGUGCUCUUUCUCGUUCCAGGUAUUUCAUUUCUCCUGUCCCCUCCCCUCCCCACCCCAUCUAUUAAUAUUAUUCUUUUGAAGAUUCUUCGUUGUCAAGCCGCCAAAGUGGAGAGUGCGAUUGCAGAAGGGGGUGCUUCUCGUUUCAGGUACUUGUAGAUUUAUUUGGGGGAAUCCUUUUGAAAAGGCCAGUCUCAAAAAGUAGUUACCACAGCAAAUAAGUCCGACUUAAUGGGCUGCAAUUUUCAUUUGAAAAGUUCUUAAGUUUUCUUUGACAGCCUUCUAAGAACUGCCAUCUGAAGAAUAAAUAAAAUCAAUUAUUUGCCUUUCCUUUGGGUCCGAGUUCAGUCUUCAUUUGUAGCAUAAUAUACAAGCACUAAAAUACAGGCCUGGCUCCAGUCUGGGCAAAAUAGCGAGACCCCCAUCUCUACAAGCAAAGCAAAACACAAAAUAGAUGCUUUAUUCUUUUUGAGUGAGACAUAGUUGGGAUACAGUAAACAAUUUUUUUCUUUUAAAUAGUGCUUCUUCGGGCGGAGGAGGAAGUAGGGGUGCACCUCAGCACUAUCCCAAGACUGCUGGCAACAGGUGUGGUAAACAUGUAAAAAAACAGUGAGCUUUAUUUAACAGAUUAAAAGUCUUUCCCAUGUGACGGUAUAAUUAAGGCAAUAGCCAUCAAGACUCCUAAUCUUAGGGGGCGUGGUUUCUGUUGGGUAUCCUAAAUACAGAAUAUCAGCUCCUGAUUAUUCCUUAGCCAAAUUUUCUAAGUGAGUUGAGACUCUCAAACUGUUAUUUUUUUCCUUAUUCUUUGGGUUAUUUUUACUAAUGUUUUUUUCUGAAAUUAGUAGCUAUUAUUCCUACUGAUUGUUAUUAGUAAAGUAGUACGCACUCAACAUGGUCAAUAAAACAUUAGAAAGUGUUAAUUGGCAGCCGGUACAGUGGCUCACACCUGUAAUCCCAACAACAACUUUGGGAGGCAAAGGUGGGAGGGUCGCUUGAACCCAGGAGUUUGAGAUCAGCCUGGGCAAGACAGCAAGACCCCAUCUCUUAAAAAAAAAGUUAAUUUUCAAAAUGUGGUUCCACAGCGUUGAUACUGGGAAUAUUUACUAGACAUGCAAAUUCUUAGGCCCCACCCCAAACCAGUGAAAGCAGAAACUGGGUGGGCCCAGCAAUCUGUUUUAACAAGCCCUUCAGGUGAUUCUGAUGCACACUACUGUUCCAGAAGCACUAAUCUCCAGAGUUGGCUUUCUUGGAGGGGAAGUCGAGAAAGCCUAAAUUACUUUUUUCUAUGUAAGAGAAUUUAUGAUGUUUAACAUUUGGUGUGUGACAAUAAGUGUUUUUGCUGAUUUUUAUUAAUCAGCGAGUUCCUGGGGAAAACCCCAGGGCAAAACGCUCAGAAAUGGAUUCCUGCACGAAGCACUAGACGAGAUGACAACUCCGCAGCAAACAACUCCGCAAACGAAAAAGAACGACAUGAUGCAAUCUUCAGGAAAGUAAGAGGCAUACUAAAUAAGCUUACUCCUGAAAAGUUUGACAAGCUAUGCCUUGAGCUCCUCAAUGUGGGUGUAGAGUCUAAACUCAUCCUUAAAGGGGUCAUACUGCUGGUAAGUUUUAAAUAUUGGCUUAACUCAAAAGGGAGAGGGAACUGUUUAACAAACUCAAGUUGUGUUUUUUUACACUUGGAUUACUACUUAAAACCCUUAGGUGUGAGUUAGAUAGGUAUGUAUUUUUGAAUACUGAUGGUGAUUAAAAAGAACCACUGACUUUAGUUAGUAGCAUUAGAUUGAAGAGGUAAAUGUUAAGUUCAUGGUAUGGUUGAAGAGGUAAAUGGGAGUGCUUAGCAAGCUGUUCUUUUUCUUUUGUGGAAAACACCAAAUAUAUUUAGGUCCUGGAAAUGCAUUGUAUGACAGUUUAUGUAGACUUGAAAGUUUUGAUAUCCAUGGCAUUUUCUGACUCCCAGGAGAUGGAUGUGACUAGAUGAAAUCUGUAUAACUGGACAUUUUUGGUAGACUGUAAUAGCUAACAUUUAGGUGGUUGUAUUUUUCCUAAAGGAAGGGUUCUUGGAGAAGUUUUCAUAUUUAGUUUAAGCAAUGACAUUUUCUGUAGAUUGUGGACAAAGCCCUAGAAGAGCCAAAGUAUAGCUCACUGUAUGCUCAGCUAUGUCUGCGAUUGGCAGAAGAUGCACCAAACUUUGAUGGCCCAGCAGCAGAGGGUCAACCAGGACAGAAGCAAAGCACCACAUUCAGACGCCUCCUGAUUUCCAAAUUACAAGAUGAAUUUGAAAACCGAACUAGAAAUGUUGAUGUCUAUGAUAAGCGUGAAAAUCCCCUCCUCCCCGAGGAGGAGGAACAGAGAGCCAUUGCUAAGAUCAAGAUGUUGGGAAACAUCAAAUUCAUUGGAGAGCUUGGCAAGCUUGAUCUUAUUCACGAAUCUAUCCUUCAUAAGUGCAUCAAAACAGUAAGUGUGACAGGGAAGUUAGGCGAAUGUUGUCGGUCAUUUGGAGGAAAUGAGUCAAUUAUUCAUCUAAGAGGGAGGUUGACUAGUUAAAUACAGAUGGGCAACAAAAUUUACUAAACAGAAUAAUUUGAAAUACGUGGUGUGUUUGACAAAGUAGGGUUAGAACUGAUCAACCAGACUGGUAGCCCUAUACUAGAUUCUGUAGGAACUGUGAAUGAGUCACUGCAAACAUAAAGGGAAAGAAAGUACUACACCUAAACCAGAGUAACUAAAACUUUGUCACCAUGGCCUUUUAUUCUUGUAGCUUUUGGAAAAGAAGAAGAGAGUCCAACUCAAAGAUAUGGGAGAGGAUUUGGAGUGCCUCUGUCAGAUAAUGAGGACAGUGGGACCUAGAUUAGACCAUGAACGAGCCAAGUCCUUAAUGGAUCAGUACUUUGCCCGAAUGUGCUCCUUGAUGUUAAGUAAGGAAUUGCCAGCAAGGAUUCGUUUCCUGCUGCAGGAUACCGUAGAGUUGCGAGAACACCAUUGGGUUCCUCGCAAGGCUUUUCUUGACAAUGGACCAAAGACGAUCAAUCAAAUCCGUCAAGAUGCAGUAAAAGAUCUAGGGGUGUUUAUUCCUGCUCCUAUGGCUCAAGGGAUGAGAAGUGACUUCUUUCUGGAGGGACCGUUCAUGCCACCCAGGAUGAAAAUGGAUAGGGACCCACUUGGAGGACUUGCUGAUAUGUUUGGACAAAUGCCAGGUAGCGGAAUUGGUACUGGUCCAGGAGUUAUCCAGGAUAGAUUUUCACCCACCAUGGGACGUCAUCGUUCAAAUCAACUCUUCAAUGGCCAUGGGGGACACAUCAUGCCUCCCACACAAUCGCAGUUUGGAGAGAUGGGAGGCAAGUUUAUGAAAAGCCAGGUAAGUAAUAUUUGAGUGUUUAGGCAACAAAUGUUAAAUUUUGCAAUAUAUGUGAUUUCAUUUGCUAGUAAAACAUGAAACUAUUUUAGGAGUGUGCAUGUUUUCUAAACCUUAUCUGCAACAUUUAUUUCAAACUGGAAUGUUUAUCCUUAAGAUUAGUAAAGUAUUAGUAAAAUCACAUCACUUUAUUUGACAGGUUAGAUUUUUAUUCUUCCCUGUUUCAUCUUUUACUUUUUCUGGGCAAAUUCAGUUAAACUAACUUUAUGGCUUGGCUCAUCCCUUUGGUACUUGAUUACCAUAAUUUGUGGACCCCUUUUUAUCUAGACUUUCUUUCUCCUUUUCUGAAAUAGGGGCUAAGCCAGCUCUACCAUAACCAGAGUCAGGGACUCUUAUCCCAGCUGCAAGGACAGUCGAAGGAUAUGCCACCUCGGUUUUCUAAGAAAGGACAGCUUAAUGCAGAUGAGAUUAGCCUGAGGCCUGCUCAGUCGUUCCUAAUGAAUAAAAAUCAAGUGCCAAAGCUUCAGCCCCAGAUAACUAUGAUUCCUCCUAGUGCACAACCACCACGCACUCAAACACCACCUCUGGGACAGACACCUCAGCUUGGUCUCAAAACUAAUCCACCACUUAUCCAGGAAAAGCCUGCCAAGACCAGCAAAAAGCCACCACCGUCAAAGGAAGAACUCCUUAAACUAACUGAAACUGUUGUGACUGAAUAUCUAAAUAGUGGAAAUGCAAAUGAGGCUGUCAGUGGUGUAAGAGAAAUGAGGGCUCCUAAACACUUUCUUCCUGAGAUGUUAAGCAAAGUAAUCAUCCUGUCACUAGAUAGAAGCGAUGAAGAUAAAGAAAAAGCAAGUUCUUUGAUCAGUUUACUCAAACAGGAAGGGAUAGCCACAAGUGACAACUUCAUGCAGGCUUUCCUGAAUGUAUUGGACCAGUGUCCCAAACUGGAGGUUGACAUCCCUUUGGUGAAAUCCUAUUUAGCACAGUUUGCAGCUCGUGCCAUCAUUUCAGAGCUGGUGAGCAUUUCAGAACUAGCUCAACCACUAGAAAGUGGCACCCAUUUUCCUCUCUUCCUACUUUGUCUUCAGCAGUUAGCUAAAUUACAAGAUCGAGAAUGGUUAACAGAACUUUUUCAACAAAGCAAGGUCAAUAUGCAGAAAAUGCUGCCAGGUAAGAGAAUGCUGACUUGUUUGUUUUGUGUUUUUAAUAUUAUAUCUAGAGAUUUCAGGUACCUUGAGUGGAUUUAUGUAGGUCAGACAGUCUGAUUGUCCUGCUCAGAUAAUGAUAAACAUUACCACAGAUCUCACCUAUAAAAAGAGAUUUAUAAUUUAACUACUUUCAUUUGAUCCGUAUGUUGAGUUUUUUUCAUUUGCUGGGUUGGUUCUCUAUUCUGCUGCAUGGAUCUUACAUACUUGGGGACAUCAUUUGUGAAGCUCUGCUCUCUGGACAGGACAACUUGGUAAAAUGAACUAUUAGAUGAUGCAGGUGGCUUUGUCUCUUCAGAAAUUGAUCAGAAUAAGGACCGCAUGUUGGAGAUUUUGGAAGGAAAGGGACUGAGUUUCUUAUUCCCACUCCUCAAAUUGGAGAAGGAACUGUUGAAGCAAAUAAAGUUGGAUCCAUCCCCUCAAACCAUAUAUAAAUGGAUUAAAGAUAACAUCUCUCCCAAACUUCAUGUAGAUAAAGGAUUUGUGAACAUCUUAAUGACUAGCUUCUUACAGUACAUUUCUAGUGAAGUAAACCCCCCCAGCGAUGAAACAGAUUCAUCCUCUGCUCCUUCCAAAGAACAGUUAGAGCAGGAAAAACAACUACUACUUUCUUUCAAGCCAGUAAUGCAGAAAUUUCUUCAUGAUCACGUUGAUCUACAAGUCAGUGCCCUGUAUGCUCUUCAGGUGCACUGCUAUAACAGCAACUUCCCAAAAGGCAUGUUACUUCGCUUUUUUGUGCACUUCUAUGACAUGGAAAUUAUUGAAGAAGAAGCUUUCUUGGCUUGGAAAGAAGAUAUAACCCAAGAGUUUCCGGGAAAAGGCAAGGCUUUGUUCCAGGUGAAUCAGUGGCUAACCUGGUUAGAAACUGCUGAAGAAGAAGAAUCAGAGGAAGAAGCUGACUAAAGAACCAGCCAAAGCCUUAAAUUGUGCAAAACAUACUGUUGCUAUGAUGUAACUGCAUUUGACCUAACCACUGCGAAAAUUCAUUCCGCUGUAAUGUUUUCACAAUAUUUAAAGCAGAAGCACGUCAGUUAGGAUUUCCUUCUGCAUAAGGUUUUUUUGUAGUGUAAUGUCUUAAUCAUAGUCUACCAUCAAAUAUUUUAGGAGUAUCUUUAAUGUUUAGAUAGUAUAUUAGCAGCAUGCAAUAAUUACAUCAUAAGUUCUCAAGCAGAGGCAGUCUAUUGCAAGGACCUUCUUUGCUGCCAGUUAUCAUAGGCUGUUUUAAGUUAGAAAACUGAAUAGCAACACUGAAUACUGUAGAAAUGCACUUUGCUCAGUAAUACUUGAGUUGUUGCAAUAUUUGAUUAUCCAUUUGGUUGUUACAGAAAAAUUCUUAACUGUAAUUGAUGGUUGUUGCCGUAAUAGUAUAUUGCCUGUAUUUCUACCUCUAGUAAUGGGCUUUAUGUGCUAGAUUUUAAUAUCCUUGAGCCUGGGCAAGUGCACAAGUCUUUUUAAAAGAAACAUGGUUUACUUGCACAAAACUGAUCAGUUUUGAGAGAUCGUUAAUGCCCUUGAAGUGGUUUUUGUGGGUGUGAAACAAAUGGUGAGAAUUUGAAUUGGUCCCUCCUAUUAUAGUAUUGAAAUUAAGUCUACUUAAUUUAUCAAGUCAUGUUCAUGCCCUGAUUUUAUAUACUUGUAUCUAUCAAUAAACAUUGUGAUACUUGA